rnacentral:rRNA from 1 species
AGCGUAGGCGGACAUUUAAGUCAGGGGUGAAAUCCCGGGGCUCAACCUCGGAAUUGCCUUUGAUACUGGGUGUCUUGAGUAUGAGAGAGGUGUGUGGAACUCCGAGUGUAGAGGUGAAAUUCGUGGAUAUUCGGAAGAACACCAGUGGCGAAGGCGACACACUGGCUCAUUACUGACGCUGAGGCUCGAAAGCGUGGGGAGCAAACA